rnacentral:lncRNA from 1 species
UUGCCCAACCCGCUCCUUACUUCUUCUUUUUCACCAGUCACGCACACAUACAUACACAUACAAAAUCUUCUUUCAUCUUUUUAUUUUUAUUUUCUUUCCCUUACAUCCGAGCCAUCCAUUUCAGAUUUCCUUUAAUAUGGGCCAUCCAAAUGGCACACCAAAUUUUUAUAAUAAAAUUCAUAAAAUGCACAAACUUCAAACUUUAAAAUCUUUUUCGUUAUAACUCCAAAUCACGAACCGUCUACGCCCACGCUUCCGUAGCGACGAGUACUACGAGGAUAUGUCAAGAAAACAAAUCUUAGAUGGCAUGACACGACAAUUAACCUCGAAUAAUGCGUGUACCUCAAAGGGCAUUUUGUAAAAUCCUUUAUUAAAACUUUAAAAACUUUUAAAAUCAGGGACGAGCUGUCACAGCAGGGCCGUCCUUGAGGGGGUGUGAGGAGUGCGACCGCACAAGACCCCCGUUUUUCAAGGCCCCUAAAUUUAAUAUAUAACCUUUGAAAUAUACUAGAUAUAUACCAUAAACGUGAGCAUAUUAAAUAAAGCAGUCAUAGCCGAUUUGGCAGGCGCUGCUUUUGCUAUCUACAUGUGCACGAGUUCGAGUCC